rnacentral:rRNA from 1 species
AACGAACGCUGGCGGCAGGCCUAAAACAUGCAAGUCGAGCGGGCAUAGCAAUAUGUCAGCGGCGGACGGGUGAAUAACACGUGGGAACAUGCCCUUUGGUACGGAACAACUCAGGGAAACUUGAGCUAAUACCGUAUGUGCCGGUAACGGGAAAGAUUUAUCGCCAAAGGAUGGGCCCGCGGCCUAUCAGCUUGUUGGUGGGGUGAUGGCCUACCAAGGCGACGACGGGUAGCCGGCCUGAGAGGGCGACCGGCCACACUGGGACUGAGAUACGGCCCAGACUCCUACGGGAGGCAGCAGUGGGGAAUCUUGCGCAAUGGGCGAAAGCCUGACGCAGCGACGCCGCGUGAGGGAUGACGGCC